UGGGGAAUUUUGGACAAUGGGGGGAACCCUGAUCCAGCCAUCCCGCGUGUGCGAUGAAGGCCUUCGGGUUGUAAAGCACUUUUGGCAGGAAAGAAACGUCGCGGGUUAAUACCCCCGCGGAACUGACGGUACCUGCAGAAUAAGCACCGGCUAACUACGUGCCAGCAGCCGCGGUAAUACGUAGGGUGCAAGCGUUAAUCGGAAUUACUGGGCGUAAAGCGUGCGCAGGCGGUUCGGAAAGAAAGAUGUGAAAUCCCAGAGCUUAACUUUGGAACUGCAUUUUUAACUCCGGGCUAGAGUGUGUCAGAGGGAGGUGGAAUUCCGCGUGUAGCAGUGAAAUGCGUAGAUAUGCGGAGGAACACCGAUGGCGAAGGCAGCCCUCCUGGGAUAACACUGACGCUCAUGCACGAAAGCGUGGGGAGCAAACAGGAUUUAGAUACCCUGGUAGUCCACGCCCCUAAACGAUGUCAACUAGCUGGUUGGGGGUCUUCGGACCUUGGUAGCGCAGCUAACGCGUGAAGUUGGACCGCCU
rnacentral:rRNA from 1 species